UUUAAUUUGAGAGUUUGAUCCUGGCUCAGGACGAACGCUGGCGGCGUGCCUAACACAUGCAAGUCGAGCGAGAAGAGCUCCUUCGGGAGUAAUUCUAGCGGCGGACGGGUGAGUAACACGUGGGCAACCU
rnacentral:rRNA from 1 species